GACCCAUCAAGCAGUGUGCUCACGUAUCCUACCAAUUGCUAAUACAUAUCUACUAUUAUCACAUAAAGAGCCCAACAACACUGGACAAAUGACUGAAGCUCUGAUGGCGGCGAUUCGACGAAUUAUUGGUGAUUAUAUCACUGAUAUUGAUGCUUUACGACGGACUAGAGGCAUCAAAUUUUAUCAAUGUCUUCCGCUUAUUGAUAUGUGGCAAAAUCGGCUGAGAUUGCUGAAAAUGGCCUAUAAAAUUAG
rnacentral:sRNA from 1 species